UACGAAGGGGGCUAGCGUUGCUCGGAAUCACUGGGCGUAAAGGGCGCGUAGGCGGAUCUUUAAGUCAGGGGUGAAAGCCUGAGGCUCAACCUCAGAAUUGCCUUUGAUACUGAAGAUCUUGAGACCGGAAGAGGUAAGUAGAACUGCGAGUGUAGAGGUGAAAUUCGUAGAUAUUCGCAAGAACACCAGUGGCGAAGGCGGCUCACUGGCCCGGUACUGACGCUGAGGUGCGAAAGCGUGGGGAGCAAACAGGG
rnacentral:rRNA from 1 species